AUGGUUUACUCACGUUCCCCUGAAAACAGCCCCCUGCACGUCGAACCUCCCUCGCUCCACUGUCUGUUGUCAUCUUAUUUAUUCGCCAUAUCUGGGUGGCCCGUGGUCAGCGCCUUCAGCUCUGGGCAGAGCGUAGAACUGGCAUCGGGAACGUUUGCAGGUAGACCAGGGUGCACCUUCUCCGGGGACGGUAGGGGGGCACCUGUGUUGGCGGAGAGGAGCCAGUGGGUGGGAGGUCGAGACCCUGGGAGCCGGACCACCCCCCCCCCCACCGCACCCCCCCCCCCAACCUCGCAGGGACACAGGUCUGGGUGUGGCUUUCUGGGGUUGGGGAGCGGCUGGACCUCGGAUCUAUUUAAUCGCAGCUCUCCCCCCAGGUGCCCUCCAGGUCCGGGCGCGACGGGCAAGUACGCUAUCCGCGUGGUCACCAGGGACUCGCUCCUGGCGGGUUCCAGAAACCUGGUGCAGCUGUGGCUCGUGGGCGAACAGGGGGAGGCCGACCUGGGCAAGAAGCUGUGGCCCGUGCGCAGUGAGGUCGGUGCGCAGCCCGCGGGGCACUGGGGGUCCGGGGGAGGAGGCCGGGCGGUGGGGAGGUCCCCGGAAAGGGGCUGGGCGGUGCGGGGGGGACACGGCGGGGGGACCGGGCAGGCGUCCGGAGCCCGGUGCCCUGCAGUCCUGCGCGGUCUGUCCGGGUCGGCUCGGAGGGAAGGUGGGCCGUCUCCCCGGCGGCAAGACCCGCAAGCCCGGGUCCGAGCCCGCGUCCGAGCCCGCUCCCGGUCCCGCCGCAGACGGAGUUCGAGGUCAGUGUCCCCGUGCACCUGGGGCGCCUCCUGCUGGCGAAGCUGCGCAAAAUCCUGCUGGACGACGCCUGGUUCUGCGAACGGAUCUCUGCGCGGCCCGGGACCCAGGGCGAGGCCCGCUUCCCCUGCUACCGCCGGGUGCGGGGCGACCAGGUCGUCUGCCUGCCCGAGGGCACCGGUGAGGGUGUGGGGGGCGGCACGCGGGGGUGGGGUCGCCAUGACGCCGGAGAGGGGACAGGCAGAAGGGCGGGGCCGGCGCGGACCCGGGUCCAGGGAGGCCUGUGCUCGUGCCCCGUCCCCCAGCCCGGACCUUGAGCGACGACCACCAGGACUUCCUUAA
rnacentral:lncRNA from 1 species